rnacentral:rRNA from 1 species
UACGGGGGGGGCAAGCGUUGUUCGGAAUUACUGGGCGUAAAGGGCCAGUAGGCGGCCAACUAAGUCGGAUGUGAAAUCCCCAGGCUUAACCUGGGAACUGCAUCCGAUACUGGAUGGCUUGAAUUCGGGAGAGGGAUGCAGAAUUCCAGGUGUAGCGGUGAAAUGCGUAGAUAUCGAGAGGAACACCUGCGGCGAAGGCGGGUUGCUGGGCUGACACUGACGCUGAGGCGCGAAAGCUAGGGGAGCGAACGGG